rnacentral:rRNA from 1 species
AAAGGAAUAGACGGGCACCCGCACAAGCGGUGGAGCAUGCUGUUUAAUUCGAAAAUACGCGAAGAACCUUACCUAGGUUUGACAUCCCUCGCGAAGCUAUAGAGAUAUAGUGGAGGUUAUCGGGGUGACAGAUGGUGCAUGGUUGUCGUCAGCUCGUGUCGUGAGAUGUUUGGUUAAGUCCAACAACGAGCGCAACCCUUAUUGUUAGUUGCUAACAUUUAGUUGAGAACUCUAACAAUACUGCCGAUGUAAGUCGGAGGAAGGUGGGGAUGAGGUCAAAUCAUCAUGCCUCUUACAUCUAGGGCUACAGGCGUGCUACAAUGGCUGGUACAACGAGUCGCAACACAGUGAUGUGAAGCUAAUCUCUUAAAGCCAGUCCCAGUUCGGAUUGGAGUCUGCAACUCGACUCCAUGAAGUUGGAAUCGCUAGUAAUCCCGAAUCAGAAUGUCGGGGUGAAUACGUUCUCGGGUGUUGUACACACCGCCCGU